CGUAGGGGGCGUAGCGUUGUCCGGAAUCAUUGGGCGUAAAGCGCGUGUAGGCGGCCCGGUAAGUCCGCUGUGAAAGUCGGGGGCUCAACCCUCGAAAGCCGGCGGAUACUCGUCGGGCUCGAGUACGGAAGAGGCGAGUGGAAUUCCUGGUGUAGCGGUGAAAUGCGCAGAUAUCAGGAGGAACACCAAUUGCGGAGGCAGCUCGCUGGGACGUAACUGACGCUGAGACGCGAAAGCGUGGGGAGCAAACAGGAUUAGAUACCCUGGUAGUCCACGCUGUAAACGAUGGGCACGUAGGUGUGGGGGGUGUCGACUCCCUCCGUGCCGAAGCUAACGCAUUAAGUGCCCCGCCUGGGGAGUACGGCCGCAAGGCUA
rnacentral:rRNA from 1 species